GGAACCUCUCUCUCUCCUCUUCCUUUUCUUGGUAUGUAGAUUUAGGGUUUCCGCCAAGUUUUCUUGUUUUUCUUUGAAGUUUCGUUUCUUGAGUUGAGUCUUGGCACUUUUCAGCUAUUUUUAUUGAUUUGGAAUUACAUUUUGAAGGAAACUACAUUUUUUCUGUUUUGACUACCACCUAAUUGAACACUUGCUCCAGAGGACCUUAAGACAUAGCUCUUUUUCACUACCGAGAUGACAAGAAAUAUUGCAAAGGCAGCAAGAAGACUAACAGCUCAAUCUUCCCAAGAAACUGGAAAAACUAUAUCCAUUUUGGAUAUCAGAUGGAAUGCCAGGUUACAAAUCUGUGU